rnacentral:rRNA from 1 species
UACGUAGGGUGCAAGCGUUAAUCGGAAUUACUGGGUUUAAAGGGUGCGUAGGCGGCCAUGUAAGUCAGGAGUGAAAGUUUGCGGCUCAACCGUAAAAUUGCUUUUGAUACUGCAUGGCUGGAAUCAGGAUGAGGUCAGCGGAAUGUGGCAUGUAGCGGUGAAAUGCAUAGAUAUGCCAUAGAACACCAAUUGCGAAGGCAGCUGGCUAGACCUGUAUUGACGCUGAGGCACGAAAGCGUGGGGAGCGAACAGG